rnacentral:lncRNA from 1 species
UGGGUCCAUCAAUAAUGUUGUGUGUGUGGAGCAGGAUGUUACUUGUGACCCUACCAGAGCACAGGAGGUGACUAAGGUAAAUUAUUGGUAUUGCAGUUUUCUAUGUAGUGUUGUGUGAACUGAGUUUUGUAUUUUUUUAUAUUUAGCCACAAGUUUUUUUUUUAUCAAAUUGUAUAUUAGAUUGUCCUUUAAUGGUGUCCUUUAAGACAGACAGCCACUUUUUCACAUGGAAGUUUUCUUUUUUAUUAUAAGCAAGACGAGUUGCACAUUGAAACACUCUUCAUGAACCAAUCAAAACUUAACUUUUAUUUUUGGC